rnacentral:rRNA from 1 species
GACGAACGCUGGCGGCGUGCUUAACACAUGCAAGUCGAACGGAAAGGCCCUGCUUUUGUGGGGUGCUCGAGUGGCGAACGGGUGAGUAACACGUGAGUAACCUGCCCUUGACUUUGGGAUAACUUCAGGAAACUGGGGCUAAUACCGGAUAGGAGCUCCUGCGGCAUGGUGGUGGUUGGAAAGUUUCGGCGGUUGGGGAUGGACUCGAGGCUUAUCAGCUUGUUGGUGGGGUAGUGGCUUACCAAGGCUUUGACGGGUAGCCGGCCUGAGAGGGUGACCGGCCACAUUGGGACUGAGAUACGGCCCAGACUCCGACGGGAGGCAGCAGUGGGGAAUAGUGCACAAUGGGCGGACGCCUGAUGCAGCAACGCCGCGUGCGGGAUGACGGCCUUCGGGUUGUAAACCGCUUUCGCCUGUGACGAAGGGUGAGUGACGGUAAUGGGUAAAGAAGCACCGGCUAACUACGUG